CUACGGAGGGUGCAAGCGUUACUCGGAUUUACUGGGCGUAAAGCGCGCGUAGGCGGUUUGGCAAGUCUGAUGUGAAAGCCCUGGACUCAAUUCAGGAAGUGCAUUGGAUACUGUCAGACUGGAGUACAGGAGGGGUGAGCGGAAUUCCAGGUGUAGAGGUGAAAUUCGUAGAUAUCUGGAGGAACAACGGUGGCGAAGGCGGCUCACUGGACUGUAACUGACGCUAAGGUGCGAAAGCGUGGGGAGCAAACGGGAUUAGAAACCCCGGUAGUCC
rnacentral:rRNA from 1 species